rnacentral:rRNA from 1 species
AUUGAACGCUGGCGGCAGGCCUAACACAUGCAAGUCGAGCGGAUGAAGGGAGCUUGCUCCUGGAUUCAGCGGCGGACGGGUGAGUAAUGCCUAGGAAUCUGCCUGGUAGUGGGGGAUAACGUCCGGAAACGGGCGCUAAUACCGCAUACGUCCUGAGGGAGAAAGUGGGGGAUCUUCGGACCUCACGCUAUCAGAUGAGCCUAGGUCGGAUUAGCUAGUUGGUGGGGUAAAGGCCUACCAAGGCGACGAUCCGUAACUGGUCUGAGAGGAUGAUCAGUCACACUGGCACUGAGACACGGUCCAGACUCCUACGGGAGGCAGCAGUGGGGAAUAUUGGACAAUGGGCGAAAGCCUGAUCCAGCCAUGCCGCGUGUGUGAAGAAGGUCUUCGGAUUGUAAAGCACUUUAAGUUGGGAGGAAGGGCAGUAAGUUAAUACCUUGCUGUUUUGACGUUAUCAACAGAAUAAGCACCGGCUAACUUCGUG